GAGCGGACAGAAGGGAGCUUGCUCCCGGAUGUUAGCGGCGGACGGGUGAGUAACACGUGGGUAACCUGCCUGUAAGACUGGGAUAACUCCGGGAAACCGGAGCUAAUACCGGAUAGUUCCUUGAACCGCAUGGUUCAAGGAUGAAAGACGGUUUCGGCUGUCACUUACAGAUGGACCCGCGGCGCAUUAGCUAGUUGGUGGGGUAAUGGCUCACCAAGGCGACGAUGCGUAGCCGACCUGAGAGGGUGAUCGGCCACACUGGGACUGAGACACGGCCCAGACUCCUACGGGAGGCAGCAGUAGGGAAUCUUCCGCAAUGGACGAAAGUCUGACGGAGCAACGCCGCGUGAGUGAUGAAGGUUUUCGGAUCGUAAAGCUCUGUUGUUAGGGAAGAACAAGUGCGAGAGUAACUGCUCGCACCUUGACGGUACCUAACCAGAAAGCCACGGCUAACUACGUGCCAGCAGCCGCGGUAAUACGUAGGUGGCAAGCGUUGUCCGGAAUUAUUGGGCGUAAAGGGCUCGCAGGCGGUUUCUUAAGUCUGAUGUGAAAGCCCCCGGCUCAACCGGGGAGGGUCAUUGGAAACUGGGAAACUUGAGUGCAGAAGAGGAGAGUGGAAUUCCACGUGUAGCGGUGAAAUGCGUAGAGAUGUGGAGGAACACCAGUGGCG
rnacentral:rRNA from 1 species